GGAAAGUUGACAACGUAAGCCCCUCAGCCCUCAUUUUUGAUCGAGUUUGCGAGUGUACAAUUAUGUUCACUCCGGGGCCUGAAAAGCCCCAUAAUUCAAUUUGCGAUUAUUGUACAUCCGCUAAGUCAGGCAAAAUGUAAAACAAUCAUUACUAUGGAGAAGUCAGCAUGCAAGUCUCUGCGCUGCUCCGUGACGCUCAAGAAGUAUGAAUGCCCUGACUUGUGCAGAGGCCAUAUUACCGUAAACGCUGAACGACCAAUGCAGACAUUGUAUUGAUUGACCGACCGCAGUGCCUUUACCCUCAACUCUUGUAACAAUGCGGUAUCUGCAGUAUCUGGUUGAUGGAUGGGUACCAAAGCUAAAGUGCACAUGUACCAUCAUGGAUACCUUACAAGGAGGAAGUGAAUGAUAUAGUGAAUGAUAAGUGAAAUGAUCUGUAAACAAUUGUUGGAAAAAUUACUUGUCAUGCACAAAGUAGAUGUCCUAACCGACUUGCCAAAACUAUAGUUUGUUAACAAGAAAUUUGUGGAGGGGUUGAAUAAUGAGUUUUAAUGACUCCAACCUAAGUGUAUGUAAACUUCUGACUUCAACUGUAAAAUGAUAUUCUACUAACUGUAAAUGAAUUAAUGUAGACAUAGAUAUGAUGACUCGACUCUUUAGCCAAUCAAACUGUAAAGGCUUCGUGCAGUUAACUAAAUCUCAGAGGUUCAUUGCUUGGAAUCAUGUGUAGAGAGAACUUAGUCUGUUGGGAAGGCUGAAUUUGAUUUCCACUUUGUUGCAUGAGAGACCAUUUGAUUACCUUGCACAGAUGCCUGUUGUCAAGUAGAGAACAGCAGGCCCAUCUCUCCUCUUAAUAACAUUCUGGAAUGCACCCAUCCCUUCUGGCCAUCAUGGGGUGUCAGCACUGCAAGAGACAACAUAAAAGAGAUGUCAUCUUCACUGUUUGACAGAAAAACUGCUGUUGAUGUCACAGAUUUUCCUUGUCUCUGAAAGUGGGCCAGAUCAUUAACUGAUCUACUUGGUGGGGACGAUCAGUGAUGGUCCUGUACUAUGAAUCAUUUUCACCUGUGGAGUUUCAUGACCUGCCCCCCGAGGUGAAGCAGUGGGAUGGACCGAGACAUCGAUAAUUAGGGUCAUUAGCCAGGGCUGGGAAGCUUCCCACUGGACACAGAUGUCAGUUCAUCAUCUAGUUUUGAUUUACAUUUGAUUGAGUUGUCAGCUAACAUGAAUUCAACAUGAAAUUAACAAAAAAUGUCACAAGGUCAUUGGAUUUAGGUUAAAAGUUGAGAGAAAAAAAUACUAAAUUCCAUUUACGUUGAUGACUUUUUUUCAAAUUCAAUCAGUUUUCCAUGUUGAUUCAACGUCGUCAUAUAAAAUGUUGGGGUUGAAAUGACAUGGAAACAAUAUUGAUUCAACCAGUUUUUGCCCAGUGGGUUGUGGUUUGACUGUCAACAAUAAGUGUCAUCACAAACAGGUUUGUCGAGGACCUAUUGUGAAAAAGGCUUUCUCUGGCAGGUGUAGAUUUAAUUAUGUUCCCACUAGAAACGAGGCAAGCCUGCUAACUGACUUAACGUGUACAUCCCGUCAUGCCAAUACAGAAUAGGAGAAAUCCUGUCGCUUCUCUUAUUUUUCACAUUUAUAAAACUGAGCUCAUUUAGGCCCCUUCAGUUGAUUAUUCUGUCUGUAAAUUAUUGUAAUAUGGUGCAAAAAUAUCUACUUAAUAUGAAGCCUAUAUACUGGAGAUGAUAAAGCAAUGCCACGAAUGGAGAAAAGUCAAGUCAUGUGAAUAUGCCCAACAGCGCCCCUACACUCCUGGGAAGUAUCCUACAUGGUGUUUUGGUUUGUUUACAUCUAGGUAUAUCAAGUGCGCACUGUCAUGCAAUCACAACACCACAUAUGUCAGUAUGGCCUUCAUUCACAUAACAGUCAUAAGAUUCAUAUUAAUAUAAGUAAGUAGCACGCAUAGUCCUUUUAUAAACGCGAACUUAUUAUAAACAUGACUAUAGUCUACAGUAACUUCAUUUAAUCAGUAACAACUUGUUUGUAAACAACUACUUUUUUUGUUAUUUUUCUGUCUCGUUUUUAUUAUUGGGCUCUGUUGUGUUUGAUGUUUUAUACCGCCAUGAGGAAAUAAGUAGUGACCAUGCCAAUAUUAAGUGCAAGUGCGUAACAUCCUCCUCGCUCCUAUUUACGCACAUCCAUCUCUUGCGCAGCAUCCUAUUCCCAAUCCCCGCUUCACGCUCCAUCUCGUCGCCAACAGUUUUAGCCUGCCUAACAUUCCUCUAUCCAAAACAAAUAGCAUGAAGCCGAUUACUUAAUAUAGGCUAUGUUUCUGAGGGUUUCCAGUAUCUGCGGCGUAGGCUACAAUUCCCACCGGAUUCCAUUGCAUUUGUCACAAUAGCACUCGCUCUGACGCAGACAAAUGUAACUAUUUACCUGUCGCUCAUAAUUGAGAAUGGUAAUUGUAUUCGAUUAGUUUACUACCUCCACUAUAUGUAUCGUUUACUAAAUUGGCAUUUUCAUAUUUAUUUGAAAGUGAAGAGCAUUUUAAGAGGACCAUAUCCACAAUCACUAUAUUAUAGGCUAUAUCAGAUUUGUUUAUAGAUGUUUGUGAUAACACAUUGUAUUAGUUAAAUGUGUCGUUACAACAUCGUUUGCAUUAGGCUACUGAAAUUGGCAACACGUUUCUGUAAUUCCUAGAAUAAAAUUAUGAUUUAGCCUGAUAGCUUACCUCAACGUAUGUCUUCUUUCCUCCCUUGGCGACCCUUUCGGUUAGAUCAUGUUUUCAAUAACUGGAUAGCACCUGUUUCCAUGAAGCACCCCUCACAUUAUUACAGUAUCCCCAUCGAUUUUUCCAUAGCGCAACACGAGAAGCCCGCCCCUGACACUCCCCCUUCUGCUGGUUGGCCAGGCCUUGGUGAAUUAUUUUGCCUACGUCGGAAUCACAUGUGGUUGACGCAUGUUUACAAACAUUGGAUGAGAUCACAUGGUGAUGGGACCCAGUUUACAGUAAACCAUUCGACAUUAAGCAUAAAUUAGUGCUCGUCUGCUUGUAGGCCUAAAAACCGAAAUGAGUUACCUCUGGUUCUUUCGGACAUUCCUAUGGGGAAAGUUGAUGGCGUUUUGGGAUAAACACCGAAAAUAAAGUAUAAGGGUAACAAAGGCUUAGGAGAUCUUAUACGUUUUGUUCUAUGAAAUAAUAUCAGUCAGUCAACAUUACCUGUAUGAAUUAUUAAGCCUUUAUGUGCUUGUUUUGAUUAAACAAAUGCUUCAAAAAGUUAGCUGAUUUAAGAUUAUCUCAUAGAACUAAAAACGUCUAAGAUCUCCUAAGCAUGUGUUUACAAUAGACCGUAUUUUCGGUGUUCAUCAAAAAACCGUCAGAAACCUCAUUAAUUGACCAACUAGCCAUGCAGGACUUAGUGCCUACAAAAAUACUGCAUUACUAUAGCUCGCCAGACUGUAGUCCUAAAAAAACGGAAAUGAAACCUCUGGUUCGUUCCGCCAUUACUAAGGCAUUGUGAAUGCAGAAAAUAAGGUAUGAGGUUAAGAGAUCUUAUACAUUUUGUUCUAUAUUAUUAUUAUUAUUAUUAUUAUUAUUAUUAUAACAGUCAGUUAAAACAUGACCUGUAUGAAUUUUGAAGCCAUUAUGUGCUUAUUUUGAUUACGUAAAUGCUUCAAAAUUCACAAAAAGUGAUGUUAGCCGAUGAAUAUUAUCUCAGAGAACAAAACGUAUAGGUCUACAAAGCCUGUGUUUACAACAGACCUUCUUUUCCGGAUUCAUCCAAAAACCCUACAAAAUCCCAUUAAUUUCCGUUAGUGCCUACAAAAAGACGGCAUUACUAUUGCUCUCUAUACUAGUAGUUGUAAAGUAUUAUAUAAUCCCUUCGGCCUCAAAAUAAACAUUCACAUGGCUAUACUAUUGCCUUUAACAUGUUUAUAAUAGGUCUAUGGGAUUCUAUAAGCUUAUAGUAGGAUGGUAUAAGGUACAAAAGCAUUUUUCAGAUAUUAAAAUGUAUUACAUAAGUAUUACACAAUGUCUAAUGUUCUUGGAGAAAGUGGUACUUGAUGUUCUGUUCCCUCCUGUUUUGGUAUGCGGCAGCGGGAGAAAAAUUUGUGCCAGCCAGGGAGUUCGAUUUAGCUCGCCCGGGUUUCCCCAUAGAGAGGAGCUUACCCAGAGUUAAAACGGAUUGUAUUCGUUUUGAAACCGAGCUGCCUUCCGGGAAUGAGCCGGAUGCCCCUUUGAAUGCCGACGGCGAAGUCGGCGGGGGAAAAAAGUGUAUGUCAAGCAUAUGGAGUAAUGAGUUUGGAUUCAGUAUUUUCACGUGCAAAAGUGUAAAAACGCAUAAGCUGCCUUUCCAAGGAAAACUACUUUGAAAAUGUUAACGUGUUUUAUAUUUCUCAAAGAUUCGUCAUGCUGUUUUGUUGUCAUUAAGGCCUGGUGAUUCUCGAUUUGAGUCGGGUGCUCCUCCCUCACCGCUUUUGCCUCGUAAUGUGCCGUUUUUAGCCCAGUUCACCCCGGUUCAGUCUAAUCCAACUCCCUUAGUGUCCCUGAACUGUUAUUGUAAUUCCUUCUUCAAUACAGCAGAGGGCAAUAUAAUACAGAGGAGACACUGGCCUACACAAGUUGCCAUUACUUUGCUGCGUAGUUUGAUUUGAACAGCCAUACGAAGUAACAGGCCCCAUAUCUCAUUUUCUGAUCGAAGGGUUUUGUCUAGCUUUGUGUGUUCUUUGCAUCUCUAUCCCUGUGCAUUUUUACAACAAAUGAAAAUCAAAACACAUUCAUAAUUUGAUAAAAAAUCAUUGCUGACUUUUUGGUGGUAUGAUUACUGGC
rnacentral:lncRNA from 1 species